CUUUUUGAAUAGUUCGCCACAAUAUUGAGAGUUCUCUCCCUUGUGAUUUAUAUGAUUUAAGUGAAGUACUUUUUCUGCGCCGUCUCAAGGCUUCAGAAAUUUAUCGGCAAAUUUUGGAAUUCUCGAAUUUUUCAUUUGAGGAACAUUCCUCUGAGUAUAACGAGAGGUUCUCAAAUCUCCAAUAUAUGAAUUUGGAUAACAUAAGAAGAAUUGCUGACAUUUUGGAAAUUCCUUAUUAUGAUGAAGCUACUCUCCCAUUGCUUAUUAUGAGUUUUCUAACGUUCCCGAAAACACGAAAAACACAUCCUAGUCAAAGACAUUCAAAUAAGAUGACUGUAGACUCGCAGAUUGCAAUGUCGAAAAAGAGAGCAAGACGAUUGAGGCAAGCACCUUCAUUGUGUGAGGGGAUCAAGAAGUCAGACCAAGGCCUUGAGAAAAAAAUUUAAAUCUCAUUUUAGUGACUGGAAGACUGCUAAAUUUGUUUUUAUACAUUGUUAUAAGUGACAAACCUCAAAUAAAAUAAAUUUUUUUACUGGAA